AUAUACACUUUGCGCUUUAUUUUUUGCAUAAACCGGAAAAUUUUUUGUCUACUUGAUUGUUUAAUGUUACCUGUAUCUCUAUUACAAUUGUAAUCAUCAAUUGCUUAUUUAGUUUCACAUCAACAAUACAAUCUUUGUUUAACUUUCACUGUAAAUAGUCAAUCUAAAUUGAGAGUCAAUCAGGUUAAGCAGUUACAGGACAAAAACAAAAGGAAACAGUCGACUUGUUCAGAUAAGCUCAGUUAACACAACUCGUGUCUAUUUUGCACGUUUUGUUCAUUGAAACACAAUCAACUUUCAACAAUGUUAAUGUGGCUCAUUUGGCUGGUUAAAGACAAUCAGAUGGUUUACCAGUUUAAUCAACAACAAUUAGAAAGUACCAAGUAACACCACUAAUAAUAGAAGCAACAGUGACAAACAGCGAAACCAAACAAACCUUCAAAGUCAAGUCCAGAUUGUCAUCAAAGAUGGUCCAUUUUUUUGGCUUCACCAUUAAUAACUUGUAUUGUAACCACUCUGUGCUGCUAUUGUUGAUGGUCAAACAUAGUUGCAAGCGUAAUUUAGGUCCAAAUGAUUGUGAUAAUUUACCCUUUGAUUACCAGUAGUUGUGCAGGUUUACAUUCAAUAGUUGAAUCUAAGGGCAUGAAAAAAGCCAAGUCAUAGCAGCUUCAUCACUGUCACAAUCAUGCACAAUAGCAAUGAUAGUUAAUGAUAACUAUGUUGAUCAUUAACUGUCCAUUCAUCUUGACCUUGGUCAAUUUUAAGUUUUAAAUGUGAAAAGUGGUAAAAAGAAGGAGAAAAAGCAUCAAUAUUUGAAGGUUCCGUUUACAUUUUUAACCAUUUCAACCAGUAAAUUGAACCGUCAAUGGGCUAUUUGGUUGUCUACUUGAUCCUAUCAAUUACCCAUUAAUCAGACAAAAUGAUUGGCCAUAUUUUUAACACAAAUAUGUUAACAAUUGUAAAUAGUGAAGAUGGCCAGUUAUAAAUAAGCAAACAAAUUGAAAAUGGUCAAGUGAAACCAAAUUCAUUAUGAUAAGUUACACAUUGACACAGUUACAUACUGACCAUUGAAAGUGAUAAACUUAACAUGUUGAUGCCAGUUUUAUGUACACUUUUAGGUUAAUGGGACAGUUACCAACUUGAUUGUUGGUUAAUUUUGAAACAUUGUACUUGUUAAGAUGAUGUUGAUAAUGUUGUUGUUGAUGAUUCUGAUGAUGUUGAUAUUGAUGGUAAUGAUAAUGAUACUGCACUUUUCAUGUUGUAAACAGCAUUGGAAAGGGUAAACAUGAUUCCGUUAAUAGUGUUAAGGUUAAAUUGAACAAAUUAAACUUUCACCUUACAAUUUCAGGUCAGUGUUGUCAUAAAGACGAAACAGGAAAAUAGAGAAAAAGCGCAACAUUUUCACAAUUUUACUUCUUCGUUCAACUCUUUUAAUCAAGUUAACCAGCCAAAUGAAAUGUAAUCAUUUAAGAUUACAAUUUAUCAUAUUUUAACAAUUUUAAACAGUUAAUCACGAACCUAAUCAUGGAUUUAAUGAAUGAAACAUUUAAAUGUUACAAGAAAAAAAGUCACCAAAUGAAUCCAUUUUUUUCUGCUUUCUGCCAAAUUAAAAGCAAUUUAACGUUUGA